CGCUAGUGAUUGGGCGAAGAGCAAGAAAGGCGGGAAGAAGUUCCGAAGGGGCGUGGCCAGGGUGCCCAAGGACCGUUGUUUCCGUAACCAGGGAACUGCAGAAAGCUGUGAUUGGCAGCCAUAGGGAGGCGGGCACCGGAGGCGGUACCGGAUCUGGGGCGCGCGCGCAGGUGGCGGUGGAGAGUACAGGAGGGCGUGGGCGGUGUGAGAGAAGAAAGGGAUAUGGGGAUAUAAAGGGAGACGCUUCUGAACCACCCUCCGAAUACCCAGAAGCCAGAGCCGGGGAGCUACGCUUAAAGGUUUUGGAGAAAGGAUUUGGCAGUCAUCACCCCGUGUGCGGAGUGAAGCAAAAUAAGUCAGCCCUGUGUAGAAAAAAGAAACCUUUUCUCAGAGAGGUCUUUGUUUGGAUUUUACGAAGCCAGAACUGGAGCUGAUCUUCGCCCCCACCCUGCGUCAAGUACAUGGUGUAUUACAGCACAUACGAGUAUGUUCAAAGGCAGUGAUCAGAAGGAAAUACACCGUCUUCCAAUCCCAUGUCAUAUUUUAAAACAAAGCAACGAUCUUUUUCCUGGAGAAAAAUCCUUGGAAUUAUGGGAUUUUCUUUUCUCAAAUUUCCUUUACUUAGUUACAUAUAAAAAUACUAAUUUUAGAGACUGGAGAGAUGUCUCAGCGGUUAAAAGCACUAGAUGCUCUUCCAGAGGACUUGGGUUCAAUCCCCAGCACCCACAUGCAACCCACACUGGUCUGUAACUCCACUUCCAGGAGACCUGACAAAACACCAAUGCACAUAAGACCGAAAUAAUUUAAAAAUACCAAUUUCAAUAGGAUCGUUUCAUUCUUUUAAAGCUUAAGAAAUCGGUAUUAAUGUUUUAAAGAGGACUAAAGGGCGCCAAUGAGAACAGCAUUCUUCCCACAAUACUUUCCUUUUACUUUGUAAAUUGUAGUGCCAAAGAUAUGCCUGUUAAUUUUACCAAGUAGGUUUCAAAAACUGGGAGAGGCAGAGGCGGGGAGGACCUAAAGAGAUGGCUCAGUGGUUAGGGGCGCUUGAUGCUCUUGCAGAGGACCCAAGUUUAGUUUCCUAUCACCACAUAGUCGCUCACAAAGGGGGAUCCAACAACCUCUUCCAGCCUCUGUGGGCAUGCGUUCAUGCAGGCAAACACUGAAACACAACAAGUAAUGUCCUUAAGACUGGAGGCAAGAAGAAAGAGUGGCUGAUUAGUGUAAUGAGGACGAAAGAGACAGACUUUUACGAGUCUAUAGCUAAUUCAGGUCCACUCCUAAACAUACUUAUUCCUAGUGAAGAUUUUGGUGCUUAUUUUAGGGAUAUUGGUUGUCCAAUAAAUAUGUACAAGUUGCAAAAUGCGAUUAAAGCACCUGUGAAGUCUUGCACUAAUUUUUAAAAAGCAA